rnacentral:rRNA from 1 species
CAGCCGCCACGGUAAUACGUAGGUGGCAAGCGUUGUCCGGAAUUAUUGGGCGUAAAGCGCGCGCAGGCGGAUCAGUCAGUCUGUCUUAAAAGUCCGGGGCUUAACCCCGUGAUGGGACGGAAACUGCUGAUCUAGAGUAUCGGAGAGGAAAGUGGAAUUCCUAGUGUAGCGGUGAAAUGCGUAGAUAUUAGGAAGAACACCAGUGGCGAAGGCGACUUUCUGGACGAAAACUGACGCUGAGGCGCGAAAGCCAGGGGAGCGAACGGGAUUAGAUACCCCCGUAGUCCCUGUCUCUUAUACA